AUUGAACGCUGGCGGCAUGCCUUACACAUGCAAGUCGAACGGUAACGGGCCUUCGGGCGCCGACGAGUGGCGAACGGGUGAGUAAUGCAUCGGAACGUACCUUUCAGUGGGGGAUAACGUAGCGAAAGUUACGCUAAUACCGCAUAUUCUGUGAGCAGGAAAGCAGGGGAUCGCAAGACCUUGCGCUGAUUGAGCGGCCGAUGUCAGAUUAGCUAGUUGGUGAGGUAAAGGCUCACCAAGGCGACGAUCUGUAGCGGGUCUGAGAGGAUGAUCCGCCACACUGGAACUGAGACACGGUCCAGACUCCUACGGGAGGCAGCAGUGGGGAAUUUUGGACAAUGGGGGCAACCCUGAUCCAGCCAUGCCGCGUGAGUGAAGAAGGCCUUCGGGUUGUAAAGCUCUUUCGGCCGGGAAGAAAUCGUAUGGGCUAAUACCCUGUGCGGAUGACGGUACCGGCAUAAGAAGCACCGGCUAACUACGUG
rnacentral:rRNA from 1 species